AUGGAGGGUGUCGGAGAGAAGAAAAAGAAGGUUCCUACUGUGCCAGAAACCCUUAAGAAAAAGCAAAAGAAUUUUGCAGAGCUGAAGAUUAAGCAUCUGAGAAAGAAAUGUGCCCAAAAGAUGCUUUGAAAGGCAAGGAGGAAGCUUAUCAAUGAAAAAGCUAAGCAUUAUCAUAAACAAUACAGGCAGAUGUACAGAACUGAGAUUCGGAUGGAUAGGAUGGCAAGAAAAGCUGGCAACUUCUAUGUACCUGCAGAACCCAAAUUGGCAUUUGCCAUCAGGAUCAGAGGUAUCAAUGGUGUGAGUCCAAAGGUCCUAAAGGUGUUGCAGCUUUUCACCUUCACCAGAUCUUCAAUGGAACUUUUGUUAAGCUCAAGAAGUCUUCCAUGAAUGUGCUGAGGAUUGUAGAACUGUAUAUUGCACGGGGGUACCCAAAUCUGAAGUCAGUAAAUGAGCUAAUAUACAAGCGUGGUUAUGGCAAAAUCAAUAAGAAACAAAUUGCAUUGACUGAUAACAGUUUGCACCAUCUCUUGGUAAAUAUGGUAUCAUCUACAUGGAGGAUCUGAUUCAUGAGAUCUAUACUGUUGGAAAACGCUUCAAAGAAGCAAAUAACUUCUUGUGGCCCUUCAAGUUAUCAUCUCCACAGGGUGGAAUGAAGAAAAAGACAACCCACUUUGUAGAAGGUGGAGAUGCUGGUAACAGGGAAGACCAAAUCAAUAGGCUUAUUAGAAGAAUGAACUAA